rnacentral:misc_RNA from 1 species
AGAAACGGGCUCCUGCUCUUCUUGACAACCUUGUACAAGCCUUUCUGAUGGCUCCUUUCUUUGUAUUGCUCGAGGUUCUUCAAAAAGUCUUCAGAUAUGAACCAUAUCCAGGGUUUCAUGCAAGUGUCGAGGCAAAGAUAGAUGCGGAGAUCAAGGAAUGGAAGGACAAUAAACGAAAGAAAUCCACUUAGCUUACAGAGUCAUCAAACGGGCAACUAUGAUGCUACUUUAAUUUAGAAUCAAAAUGGAAAAUUUGGCGUGUGAUGUUGUGUUAUCAAACUAGAGACAUCUUCUAUGUACUGAAAGGUUUCUUGGACUUCUUGGACACAGAUCACAAUCUUAUUGCCAACAGGAAUGUCUCUAUAAGUCACUAAUAUCCGGUUUUUGAUUUUGUUGUGAACAUUUUAAUUGCAGUAAUUCUAGUUGCAGUGGCAGUUUCCCUCGCAC